UAGAAUGAAACUUUUCUUAACGGCAAUGAAAAAAAAAUAGAAAAAUGCUUGCUUUUGUGCUAUGAAAGAGAGAAAAGAAAAAACAGUCCUUGAAUAUUUGCAACAAAAGACCAUCACUUGCUACUGGAAUUGACUGGAUUAGAAAGCUAAAGUUUGGAGGAAAAUGCGCAAAUAUCAAGGUUACCUGGGUCUGCUGGUCACUUCCUAGUUUUUGGACUCUUGAAGAUGGGGAUUUGCUGAUUUGUAAGCAUGGAGCAGGCAAUCAGUAGAAGGUUGAUGAAAGUCACCCAGAAGGAAAUAAAAGGCAGGGAUAAUGCACAGGAGAUACAAUGGCUGGUGUACAAGCAAGAAGUGGACACUUCAUGCCCAUGAUAUCUUGAGAGAGGUAAGGUGUGGCAGAUUCAGAAUACACCUUUAGGAGUCCUCUAGAGAUGACAGGAGGUGCCGCUCCAACUGAGGAUGAUUCCAGCAGGAAAAGCUUUCAAUUCACCCUACUAUCAUUUCCA